rnacentral:rRNA from 1 species
AUACGUAGGUGGCGAGCGUUGUCCGGAGUUACUGGGUGUAAAGGGCGUGUAGGCGGGGAUAUAAGUCAGAUGUGAAAUUCCAUGGCUCAACUGUGGCACUGCAUCUGAAACUAUAUUUCUUGAGUGAUGGAGAGGAAAGCGGAAUUCCUAGUGUAGCGGUGAAAUGCGUAGAUAUUAGGAGGAACACCAGUGGCGAAGGCGGCUUUCUGGACAUUAACUGACGCUGAGGCGCGAAAGCGUGGGGAGCAAACAGGAUUAGAUACCCUGGUAGUCCACGCUGUAAACGAUGGAUACUAGGUGUAGGAGGUAUCGACCCCUUCUGUGCCGGAGUUAACACAAUAAGUAUCCCACCUGGGGAGUACGGCCGCAAGGUUGAA